UACAGAGGGUGCGAGCGUUAAUCGGAAUUACUGGGCGUAAAGCGCACGUAGGUGGCGACGUAAGUCGGGUGUGAAAGCCCCGGGCUCAACCUGGGAAUUGCAUUCGAGACUGCAUUGCUGGAGUACGGAAGAGGAAGGCGGAAUUCCCGGUGUAGCGGUGAAAUGCGUAGAUAUCGAGAGGACACCUGCGGCGAAGGCGGGUUGCUGGGCCGACACUGACGCUGAGGCGCGAAAGCUAGGGGAGCGAACGGG
rnacentral:rRNA from 1 species